GAAGAAAAUCCGUCGACUUUAAAAUCGUGAG
rnacentral:tRNA from 1 species